GUCCUCUCUCACUCUCUCAGAAACGGGCAAAGAGCUCUGAAGAAAACCUCUCCCGCCGUUGAAGCAAGUAAGUAAUUUGUGGUUUUAGCUUCGAAGAUCGAUUCGCGUUCAUGGGGAUUUCUUUUUCAAGUUAUCGAAAUUAAAACCCCUAAAAUACCACAAGCAGAAUAAGUAAUAAUCUAGUACUUGGAUUUAGAAUUGGUUUUAGACGGACUAUUACUACUACUAACUCUAUGCUGCCUCGGUAUUUACAAUUUCAUAAAGCUACCACAAACAAGAAGAAGAUUGUCGGACCUAAUUUACAGGUUGUACGUAUGGAUUUAUCGAGACCUGAACUCGAUAACACAGUUAAUUACUUAGAAGCUGAUUACUUUUCAUCCUCCUUCAUUGUUUACACAAGACCUAAUAAAUCUUUGAUUGUUGUCAUUUCUGGUGCAGAUCAGCAUGUUUAUACUACCUGCAUCAAGGUGAAACAUAAGAGAGUGGUCGUGGAUGUUGAGAGUUCAGUGGACGUUGUUUACAAGCUGAAGGAAUCACAUUUGAGUCGAAGCCAGGUAGCGUACAAAAGGAAGCAUUUGGUUCACUUAAACCGGUUGAUGGAGAACAUGUUGUGGACAUUUACACUGAUUACCAUUUAAUUUGGGGUAUACGCUUAACUUGUGAUUUCUGAAAGCAGACAUUGUGAUUGCUGCAGCCAGGAACGCAAAUAUGGUAUGACGAGAUUCGUUCCAUGCCCCUAAAGUUCCAAUCUUGUAUGCCACUGAAACAUUUACAUCCACAACUACUGGUCUGUAGUCUGUAAAUUACAUCAAUUAAGCCUAAACAUCCUUGUUAGAUUGAAAGUUCAAGCCUAUUGCCGUGGCACCCCUUAGAAGCAAGGAGUGAAGGAGGUUGUUACUACUGUACCAUGAGGGUAGCUGUUACCGUUAUUUCACAAAAAGGAAGAAUCGGGUAAAUGUGUACUGCAUACUUGCAGUGGAUCCGAUACGUUCCAUGUUGUUAAUAUAAGAACAGACAUCGAAUUUGUGUUUUUCGCUGGAGGCUUCGAGACACCUUGCAUUUUAAAAAGGUCAAGCCUAUAAAAUUCGCUAAUCCAAAUUCUCUUUUGUAUGGUCAUCUCUCCAGCAUUGAUUCGUCCGGGACAUUGAUGAAAUUGACAUGGGUAAGUGGUGAUAAAGAACCUCAACAGGCUUAAUAUGGUGAUGGAAAUUCACAUGCAUCAGAUGCUGAUACAUUUACUCAAAAGCAAAUGUGUAAUUCAACAAUAAAAAGUCCAAUUAUUGAUUUUGGAUGGCAUGACCCUGGUUACAUUCAUUCAGCUGUGAUGACUGACCUUCAACCAUCAACCACCUACUCCUACAGAUAUGGCAGGUAAAACGUAUGUCUUCUUGUUAGUUGGGUCAUCGAUUAAGAUUUUUUUUUGCUUUUGUGAACAAAUAUAUAUUCUGAAAUUCCAUGUAUGCAGUGAUUCAGUAGGCUAGAGUAAUCGAACAAAAUUCAGGACUCCACCUGCAGGGGGUUCCGAUGAACUUAAAUUCCUUUCCUUCGGGGAUAUGGGAAAGGCCCCUUUAGACGGGUCCAUUGAGCACUAUAUUCAGGUGUUAAUUGUACAAAAUUAAAUAGAAAUGGUACCCGUUUAACUCUUAUUAUUGUGUCAAGAACAAUGCAUAUGUGAACCAUGACUAAUAACCACUGGAUUGAUCUAUUAACUAGCUUUUCUUUCAAUGUUAGCCCCUCAGUACUAGUUGGUAGUUUUUUAUUUGAAAGACCCCGUAUGGCCGUAUUGCCUGCUGAUUUUUUUUUCAUAGUAGCCUGGUCCUCUUUCUGUGAUGGAAGCCAUGCGGAAAGAAGUAGAAUCAGUCGAAGUGGACUCAGUCUUUCAUAUCGGAAACAUAAGUUAUGCCACUGGUUUCCUGGUAGAGUGGGAUUAUUUCCUUAGCCUGAUCCAGCCAGUUACUUCUCAUUUCACCUACAUGACAACAAUUGGCAACCAUGGGAGAAACUACAUAAACUCCGGAUCGGUUUAUAUAACCCCAGAUUCUGGUGGAGAAUGUGGAGUUGCUUAUGGGGCCUAUUUUCCGAUGCCCACAUCUGCGAAAGACAAACCCUGGUAUUCAAUCAACCAAGCCGGCAUUCACUUCACUGUAAUCUCAACAGAACAUCCUUGGACUGAGAACUCUGAACAGGUAGACUUGUGUUAAUGACCAUUGACUGCAGAAUACAUAAGACAUAAUUCUUGUGAGCUAUUGUUAUUCAUCUUUAAUAGUAGAAGUAUGAAUUGUGCUUGUUGUUUUACGUAAUGCUUACUGAUGUGUAAUGCUCAUUGAUGUCGUCUUUGUGUUCAUAAUUGUUGCUUUUCUUAUCAUCAAAGAUUACAAACCCAAAAAGAUGUUAAUUUUGUCUGCAAUUUUCAUAUCUAUAGGUAUUUAGCUGUGAGACUGAUGCAUAUCCCUUGCUAAGGGAUCUUUGUACUAAUACUAUAGGUAUUGAUAUGCUGUCAAAUGGCAGCUGAUUAUCACUCGGAAACACCUCAUUUAACAAGUAUCCAGGUAGCUGACAGUUGUGGUUCUAUUAUUUGUGUGCUUGUCAUUCAUAGUAGAAUACCAGUUCUAGCUAAAACUGGCUUUCUUUUGACUGCCGUGAGGACAUAUUUGGAAUUGGGGGAGUGCAAGACAUUUACUCGUGCAUGUUUGGGUUCUUCAGCCUGCUGCUCGGGAAUUUGAAUUGAAUUAAGAGUGUAAUGCUACCCGCUGGUCUCCCGAGGAAUUUGAACGUAAGUUAUAGAUAUGGAGCACACUGCACAAAAUAGAUUUUUACCCAAGUGUAGUGUUCUACCGAAGUAUACUGUUCUAGAUUGAUGUCUUUGAAUGUACAUGUACUGCCAGUAACCACCUUUCGGCUUUUCACUCAAACCGCCGUGAGAAAGAAGCUUAAUUGAAGAAGCAAAUCAAGAAGCAGCAGGAGGAAGCUGAAAAAGAACAAAGAAGUGAGAUGAGGAAACAGCUGAUUCGCAAGUACGAGUUUCUUAUAUUCUUUGUAUAUGUGUCUUCUCUUACUUCUGAAACUAAACUAAGAGUGUUGAUUUAAAUCUAGAAGAAAUGUAGUCACAAAUAAUAAACAUAGUUGUUUCCUUCCCUUUCUUUUGUUAAAUAUUUUUGAUGUUUAAAUAUGUAUA